rnacentral:lncRNA from 1 species
GGAGAAUGCGGGGAGACCGCGUUUAGAGGAUCAGUGGCGGCGGGCCCGCGCGGUGCCGGCGACUAGCAGCGAGAUGUCCUGGCCCCUUCCAGGUUUGGCUUCGAACAAGUUCCUUUCUUCGGACGUCAACCGACCUACCAGAGUUUAUUCCUUAGGAAUGUUACACUUUCCCAAUUCUGUCCACGUUGUAAAUUCCUGGCCACCUUCUUUGGGGGACGGCGACGAAUCUGCCUAAGUGUGGAAAUCGAUGCGGGUCCUGAAGGCUUGAGCUUUAAAGAGUAUUCUAGUUCCCAGGAGCACUCAAGUUAAGCAUAGCAGCCCCCCCUCCCCCAAGCUUAACCCAAACAUCUCAAAGUGGUGCCACUUCUGCUCUUAUUUGGGGGAGGUGCUAGGAAAGCCCAUUUGAUCAAACUUGGAAGGACCCUGCAGCCAAAUCUAGAUGGAAUUUCAGAAUCUGUCUUUAGAGUUAUUUCAUCUAUGAGCCUAGCAGAUCUUCUACAGGGCUAAAUUAGGAGAAAAGUGUGCAGAAACGCGGUUGGACUGGCAGUGAAUCCGCAUCCACUAACACAAUACCCUUUUCCAGCGAAGAGAGAAGAAGCUGUUACGAAUCUAGCUUUUGUUUGAUGAGGUUGUUGGGUUUUUAUAGGGCUGUGCCAAUGACCCCUUUUCUCUCUCUUGCACCACCUGGCAACCCCGAAACUCAUCAGCAGCUCUGGCCUUCCCACCCGCAUGAUCUUUGCUUUGUAAAUCCAACCCGCCACGGCCUGCUUCACACGCCUUCUUAGAGAUUUGCUCCCACCCCACCCCCGACCUCUGAGUGCGGGACCUCUAAAGCAUUCUCGGUACCCCUGUCCACAUACCCAUUCCCAUGGAGCGGCUGUGGACCAAAGUAGUGCAGCCAAUAGUUCUCAAGCAUAAAUCCCUCUCCUGGUCCUUCCUAGGCUUAGACUCAGGGCUGAUCAGGGUAAGAAGGCGACCUUCCCACCUAAAGGGCAGGUUUGGACUGAGCGCCGGCGAUUUUCCUGCGAGCCCAACACUUCCUAGAACAAGUCGAUUAAUACCCAGAAUUCAGACACCCCAGGAAGAGCCAAGUGAGGAGCGCGAGAUCCUGUUAUCCCGAAGACACCCAAGCGGCUGCCAAAAAGAAGGGGCCGUUGGUCCCUUUGCUCUCCAUUUCCAGCUGUUCCAGAACUAGCUGCUAUCUCUCUGGACUCACCAGCCCCUCUAGGAAAUCUGGAGAAUGGAGAGAGCAAGGUGUAGCUGAUUAGCAAGUUAAUUAUUUCAGUACCCCAAGGGUUCAUGCGUGGUGGAGAUGGCCUUGGGAGAGCAACCUCCGGACCUCAGCAGUGUGAGGAUGACAACAGUACCCUGUGGUGCUGUCCCCACUCAGGUUGGCUGCCAUCCCUGCUGAUGGAGAGAGGCUGAAGUCUGUCUGAGAAGAUAGUGCAGGCAGCUACUUAGCUGGUACUAAUUGUAUUUGCAGAGUAGGGGGUUUCUCUCUGUAGCCCCGACUGUCCUGGAACUCACUCUGCAGACCAGGCUGUCCUCAAGCUCAGAGAUCUACCUGCCUCUGCCUCUGAAGUACUGGGAUUAAAGAUGCAGAGGCCUCCCAGAGAAGUGUGAAGGAAUGGGCCUUAACCAGGGUUGAAGAAAGAAAGUGAAGAAGGGGAGAGCCCAAGGAAAGGUGGGGACAGUUGGAACUUUUGUUUACACUGGUCUACUACUCAUGUAUCGUAUGCUAUAAUCUCCAAAUUCCACAUUUAUUGUAGCUGUCUGCAGUGUGUAUGCCCCGGCCGCAUGCUGCUUGGCUAAAAAAGUGUUAAAUAAAACUGUAAGAAACGCUA